rnacentral:rRNA from 1 species
GACGUAGGGCGCGAGCGUUGUCCGGAUUUAUUGGGCGUAAAGAGCUCGUAGGCGGCUUGUUACGUCGUUUCGUGAAAACUUGGGGCUCAACCCCAAGCUUGCGGUCGAUACGGGCAGGCUAGAGUUCGGUAGGGGAGACUGGAAUUCCUGGUGUAGCGGUGAAAUGCGCAGAUAUCAGGAGGAACACCGGUGGCGAAGGCGGGUCUCUGGGCCGAUACUGACGCUGAGGAGCGAAAGCGUGGGGAGCGAACAGG